UCGCAUCUUACGAUGGCAGUCCUGCCAGAGUCCUCAGCAUGACCUGUUAGUAACUGGCAGCAAGGGUUGCGCUCGUUAUGGCACUUAAGCCGACACCUCACGGCACGAGCUGACGACAACCAUGCAGCACCUCCACAGCGGCGAUUGCUCGCUUAUCCGUUUCCGGAUAAUUCCACUGCAGUUCAAGCCCGGGUAAGGUUCCUCGCGUAUCAUCGAAUUAAACCACAUGUUCCUCCGCUUGUGCGGGCCCCCGUCAAUUCCUUUGAGUUUCACCGUUGCCGGCGUACUCCCCAGGUGGGAUACUUAACGCUUUCGCUUGGCCGCUGACUGUCUAUCGCCAACAGCGAGUAUCCAUCGUUUACCGUGCGGACUAC
rnacentral:misc_RNA from 1 species